GAUGAACGCUGGCGGCGUGCCUAAUACAUGCAAGUCGAGCGAACAGAUGAGGAGCUUGCUCCUCUGACGUUAGCGGCGGACGGGUGAGUAACACGUGGAUAACCUACCUAUAAGACUGGGAUAACUUCGUGAAACCGGAGCUAAUACCGGAUAAUAUAUUGAACCGCAUGGUUCAAUAGUGAAAGACGGUUUUGCUGUCACUUAUAGAUGGAUCCGCGCCGCAUUAGCUAGUUGGUAAGGCAACGGCUUACCAAGGCAACGAUGCGUAGCCGACCUGAGAGGGUGAUCGGCCACACUGGAACUGAGACACGGUCCAGACUCCUACGGGAGGCAGCAGUAGGGAAUCUUCCGCAAUGGGCGAAAGCCUGACGGAGCAACGCCGCGUGAGUGAUGAAGGUCUUCGGAUCGUAAAACUCUGUUAUUAGGGAAGAACAAAUGUGUAAGUAACUAUGCACGUCUUGACGGUACCUAAUCAGAAAGCCACGGCUAACUACGUG
rnacentral:rRNA from 1 species